UUGAAACUUUGGCCUUAAACUUCAUAUCCCAAGUUUCUUGCAACUAAGAAUAAAAUUUUCAAAGUUGAUGUUUGAACUUCUUCUUCUUUUAAGCUGCAGUGAAUUUGUUCUUGUACUCAUUCGAGGAUAUUGCCAGUUUUGUAUUUAUAAGUUCUCUAAUAAUCUUCCACGAGUCUCCAUUGGAGGCUGAACAGCCCUGUUCCC